CUAGAGAGGGAGAACCGAGCAGAGGAAGGUCUCUGCGUUUUCCGGCAAGUUUCCAUGUUUUCCGGCGACCUCUGAUUUCGAUUCAGGUAUAAAAGUUGGUCCAUUUGUUGAGCUUUACAUGUCUUUAUACUUGAAUCGAGAUUGGUUGAUGUUUGAAGAAAGUUAGGUUUUAGGCAGUGUUGACUGCCGUGAUUGCCACCGUGCACGGCGGCGGUGGAGGUGCUUCUAUUGUUUUCCGGUUUCAAAUUAAAUGUUGAAGUUGGAUUGAUGUGUGUUCUCUAUGCUAGAUAUAUAGUUUUGGUUAAGAAUUGAAGUUUGGAGUUUAGGUUACUGUAUUUGAUGUUUGGUGUUGGCAGUGGCGGUAGUGGUGGUGUUUCCAUUUGUGUUUGGUGUUUGCAGCAUCAGUUUACGGUUCACUUCUGAUUUUGGUUGUUCUUCUUGUUUUCCGGAUUAUGCUGUGAUUAGUGUACUGAACAUGAAGGACUGAUUUGUGAUGUUUGGAUUCUAGAAAUGGAGUUGGAAACAGUCGGGGAUUUCAUUAUGAAUUGUUAGUUUUGGUCAAGUUGUGAUUUGAUUUGAUAAUAAGGAAAGAAACAAUUGGAGUAUAUGGCUGCUGGAUUUCAAGACACAGAAGUAUGGUAAAUUUGGAUUAGUACUUGAAAUCAGUUCAAGACUCUGAAGGCUGGAAUCGAUGCAAUUGUGUGAAAACUUGUUUUGGGUGUACAUACCAAUUCAGAAUCAUUCUAUGAAGAAGUAAAUGGAAUUUAGAGACGAUGAAGAAAUCGGAGACAAAGAGUCUUGGGUGUCCAGAGUAAAUGUGUAGUUGGAUUGGUGGUUAGAGCAUAAUAUGGAUACGACGACAUAAUGGAAUAUGGAAUUGAUGAUCGAUUAAGGAUGGGACAUAUAUAGUCAAUCUAAGCAUGACUAAAGUAUGAUGAGACUUGCAGACUUGGUUCAUAAUGUAAUAAUAGAAGUGGGAGAAUGGAAUUUGGAUGAAGCAUAUUGUUAUUAAGGAUUUGGGUGUCCUUAGUAAAUUUAUGAAUUCGGUCAAGUUGAUUCAAAGGGAUUUGUCGAGUUUUGCGGAUUAAGGAUUCAGGGUGUCCUUAGUAGUUUUGAGGACAUGAUUGUAUCAAUUUAAAGUGUUCGACAAAUUUCUUGGAGUAUGUAUCUGGUACAAGGAAUGGAAAGCACGCUUGCAAGAUUCCAGAAGCAGAAGGAUAAGGAUUUCAGAAUGCGUGUCGUUGAGUUACUAAUUUUAGUUGGCGUCAGAGUCGACAAAGCUUGGAUUCUAGGUAGGGUCUCUCUUGGGGAACCUUUCUUUAAAUUGAUAAUUGAGUUAUAACUGAAAUCGUUGAUUUGUGUGACAUUGAUUGAUUAAUUCUUUAUUGUUAUUGUUUUUGAUAAAGUAUGUGAUAUCGCUGACUUACGUGAUCAAUGUUAUCGCUUUUCAUUAAAAGCAUGUGUUUGAUAUUGAAAUGCAAGUAUUGAUGUUCAAUUGAUAUGCAUAAUGCAUUGUGAGGAAUUGUGAGAUUAGUGUGAGGUUAGUGAUUAUGGAGAGGUGAUAACGAGAUCGAGAAAAUAUACAUUUUGUGUAGUUGAGUUUCCUCGUGAGGCAUCCAUGAAUCCAUGUUAGCCCACAAGUGCACAAAUGAGGGGAAUGUAGGCCCAAUCGAUGGCGGACGUCGAUAAAACAAUAUAAUCGGGUUUUGGGUUUGGAGACCAUGAAUAUAACAAGAUGACUAACAAAAGAGGUACCGGAGUUUAGAUAUUACUGAUUUGUUAGGUUGUAUAUUGGAGACAUCUACACGGUAUGGGACGUAUAAGCUCAUAUGUCUUCGAUGUAUGGACUAAUUAGCCAAUAAUUGAGUGGAGGGAGUUCAUUUGCAUAUAUGCAUCGAAUUGUCGUUAUAUACUUAAAUUAUUGUUUGAUGUUUGAUAACUUGAUUGUGCGACGUAGUUAAGAAUAGCCUAAAAAGGUUUGGCCCUUACGCUCACCUCUAUAGAUUAUUGUUCAGGUACGACAUGUCUUUCGAGAAGACUAACUGUGACGUUAGCUUACGUGUACAAGAGUCGAGAGGUACGAAAGAUUAGAAGUCAGAUAGAUAGUAAGACCUAUUUUACUGUUGUAAUUAGUUUUGUUAAUGUAAACGUUUUAUUUUCGACAAUUUUCUAAAAAUGUAUUUGAAUUUGUUUUAUUUUUUUUACAUUUCCCUCUCACGCCUCGGAUUCGGUGUUAAGUGCUUGGAAACCAUCGACACCGGAUUUGGGGGGUGACAGUACCAUAGUUAAUACCUAAUUGGUCUACCUACAUAAUAAGACCGAUUGUUUCCUCCACCAGCCUCGUGGUUGCAGCCUUCUUUAGCACCACAGGGAGCCAUACAAUUUCCACCCAAAUCCAAACAAAAUUCAAGGGUACCUGUGGGUUAUAUAUCAGAAAAUCUAUAGUAGUCGUUGAUGAUGAUGAUCAUGGCACAUUGAUAUGCCCAAGAACCGCUUCACUCGGAUAAUAUCACGUUCAUUGGUGAAUGUAAACAUGUAGUGGUUGCCUCUGGCUUGAACUUCCAUAUGUAAUUCCAGUCGAAAACUUCCAUAUGUAAUGGAAGAUGCCACAUAGAGCGCGCAACGCUCUUAAAAGCAUCAAACGACACCUCCCUGGCAGUGUUAAGACGUCCGAUUAGGUAGAACCAGGGAGCCACGAAGCCUUUUUUCGAGCAUAUGAGAUCGCCUAGGCCAACGUGUUCUUCCUGAUGUGAAAGAGAGACCUUGGAGAUUAAUCUCUCUGUCUGAGAAGCAGUGGAGGCCACCAUGAUUGCUAUAGAUGGUGAAGCAGCGCCUCACAACUGAAACCCUAACCCUAACGCAGAGAGAGAGAGAGAGAGAGGGAGAGUUUUGGGCAGCGGGAUUCUUCCUAGCUGAUACUAGAAUCACCGGAUCAAUUGGGUGAGGACUUGUAUGUGAAAUGAUUAAUUAAUUGAGUCAGGACAUUUUAAAUGCUAAGAUUACAUAUAUAUGGUAUACUUAGAAACUUGUUAUAAUCCAACAUGGUGCCAUGAGAAAAAAUAGAAGCAUUACUAAAAUAAAUAUGCAAGACAAAAGUGUCUUCGUCUUUCAAAGUUUCAGUUAUGAUGUCUACUUAUGGCUUAAACGAACAAUAAAAAAAAACUCACGGGUUCGAAGCUUUAAUAUAAUAAUUAGAUAUUAAGAAAGACUUGAGCAGUCGAGCUUAGGGCUCAAUAAAUAACUAGACGAUUUAGAAUACUAUAGCUAACCAGCAAAGAAAAUUGCGAAUGCAACUUGCACGGAUGAGUAAGAUAUAUAAUGUAUAUACUUGCUAUUUAGUAAACCAAGACUUGGGCUAAAUUUAAUCCAACUACUUUGUUUGGGCGAAUUGGAACAAUUAUAUGUUGAUACCCAUGUUUACCAACUUGUGUGAGAGUGAUAGCAAUUGCAAAACUAAUCAGGGUAGUUAAUCAUGAAUAAUGUGAUGAACGUGAUCGAAUUGAUAUAUAAUCCGUAGAACAGUUCAAAGUUUCAUUUAGUUUUUCAAACACCAUUUAACCCCUAUCUUAUUGCUAUUCGUUUUCCUGAAGCUGGUACUUAUUUUACUCCUCUGAUCCAGGUAUUAAGUAGGGAAGGAGUCCGACUGUGAAAUGUCAAAUGUGAACGAAAGAGAGAAGAGUCACGAACCAGUG
rnacentral:lncRNA from 1 species